rnacentral:rRNA from 1 species
UACGGGGGGGGCAAGCGUUGUUCGGAGUUACUGGGCGUAAAGCGUGCGUAGGCGGUGUCUUAAGUUUGUUGUGAAAUCUCCCGGCUUAACCGGGAGGGUGCGGCGAAUACUGAGAUGCUGGAGUGCGGGAGAGGUAAGCGGAAUUCCUGGUGUAGCGGUGAAAUGCGUAGAUAUCAGGAGGAACACCUGCGGUGUAGACGGCUUACUGGACCGUAACUGACGCUGAGGCACGAAAGCGUGGGUAGCAAACAGG